rnacentral:rRNA from 1 species
GGGCCCGCACAAGCGGUGGAGCAUGUGGUUUAAUUCGAUGAUACGCGAGGAACCUUACCAGGGCUUAAAUGGGAAAUGACAGGGGCAGAGAUAGCUAUUUCUUCGGACUACUUACAAGGUGCUGCAUGGUUGUCGUCAGCUCGUGCCGUGAGGUGUCAGGUUAAGUCCUAUAACGAGCGCAACCCCUGUUGUUAGUUGCCAUCGAGUCAUGUCGGGAACUCUAACAAGACUGCCGGUGCAAACCGUGAGGAAGGUGGGGAUGACGUCAAAUCAUCACGGCCCUUACGUCCUGGGCUACACACGUGCUACAAUGGCCGGUACAGAGAGCAGCCACUACGCGAGUAGGCGCGAAUCUUCAAAGCCGGUCUCAGUUCGGAUCGGAGUCUGCAACUCGACUCCGUG